GACGAACGCUGGCGGCGUGCCUAAUACAUGCAAGUCGAGCGAAGUUUUUCUGGUGCUUGCACUAGAAAAACUUAGCGGCGAACGGGUGAGUAACACGUAAAGAACCUGCCUCAUAGACUGGGACAACUAUUGGAAACGAUAGCUAAUACCGGAUAACAGCAUUAACUGCAUGGUUGAUGUUUAAAAGUUGGUUUUGCUAACACUAUGAGAUGGCCUUGCGGUGCAUUAGCUAGUUGGUGGGGUAAAGGCCUACCAAGGCGACGAUGCAUAGCCGACCUGAGAGGGUGAUCGGCCACACUGGGACUGAGACACGGCCCAGACUCCUACGGGAGGCAGCAGUAGGGAAUCUUCCGCAAUGGGCGAAAGCCUGACGGAGCAACGCCGCGUGAGUGAAGAAGGAUUUCGGUUCGUAAAGCUCUGUUGUUAGGGAAGAAUGAUUGUGUAGUAACUAUACACAGUAGAGACGGUACCUAACCAGAAAGCCACGGCUAACUACGUG
rnacentral:rRNA from 1 species